rnacentral:lncRNA from 10 species
AAAGCUUCCAGAAUGUAAGGUUUAGUUCGACUGCAUACCUCAUUACCUCCCCUUCCCUCCUCCCUCCCCUUACUCCCAGGAAGUUUGCAGGGUAAAUAAAACAUGCACAUGAUAAUAAAACAAAGUGGAAUGUACUAAAAUACCAAAAGGAAAAUACAGAUUAGGUAUACUGAGUAAAUAUGUUACAGAGAAAACUUCCUGUAUUUAAAAAGUAAGGAACAAUGGGAUGAGAUCAUAGAUAAUCCUGGAGCAUUUCCUGGUAGUAAAUUUCCAGCCAGGUUUAUAUCCCAGGUCUGGGGAUUGGAGGUUAAGUUUCUGCAUAUACAAUAUUUGUUUACAUUCCUCUCUGCCUCUACCAGACAGACAGACAGACACACACACACACACACACACACACCCUCUGUCUCUUUCUCUCUCUUUCUCUCUCUCUCUCUCUCUCUCUCUCUCUCUCUCACUUGAGUGACAGAUGCUGGUGCAGGGUAUUCUCAACAGGAGUAGGGAAUUUGAAAUAAGGAGUUGAGAGGUCAAAGGUAAGGGGCUGAAUGCAGGACCAGAGAGCUUCAGUAGCAUCUUGAUGGGCAGAGUAUGAGAUGAACAGUGGCAACGAGGAGGAUAGGGAAAAAUCACAUUUUCUGUUUGUGUUUUGUUUUUGUCUGGUGGUUUUCAACCUCUCUCUGUUUCACUUGACUAUGCUUGAUUAUGAAAUCUUUUUUUUUUCUUUUUUUAAUUUAAAGAUCUCAACUGGCUUUGUUGUGAUUCUACAUUCAGGCAACACUAUUCUGUAAAAUAGUAUAAAUGUUCCGAUGAGUUGAACAGAGGAGAUUGGCUUUGUAGACAGAAAAGGGCUGAAGAAAACAGAAAUAAAAAAAUCUUUUCCUUUUCAUAGUGAGAGCUCAGAUGCAAAUGUAUGGAGUGGGGAUGGAUGGGAAAUGCCGUCUUUUGCAAACCCUUGGAAACGCUGUCACCCUGUGGGUCUCACAGCCAGUGUACAGAUAACACCCUCAUCUGUACACAGAAGACAGAAGGUGGCAGGGGAAGGAAUGAGCACACCCCAGAAUGAGUAGCAAGUUUAAUCAAUAAAAUAUGUAUUUCUUUUUUUAUUGUUGUAUAAGAAGAAAAGCAGACAGAACUCAAACCCUGAAGCUGAUUUUGCAAGUGAAAAGCUUAGUAAAGGGGGAAAUGUUAUGUAACUAUUUUUUCAGUUUAGUGUGGAUGGCUUAAGAAAUAAUCAUUACUGUGAGGACACUAGUAUUUUUCUUGGAAAAAAAAGUUUGGCAAAUUUUCCUCUUUAGAUUAAUCUUGGUUAUAGAUUAUUAUUAUGCUUGAGUGGUACCUCUUCAGAAGUAGAAAUCUGGCAAAAACUGGAGUACAAUGAUUGCUCUAGGAAUAAAUUCACAUAUUUAAAUUUAAAAGCCUGGAUAUGUGCAU